CCUACGGGGGGCAGCAGUGGGGAAUAUUGCACAAGGGGGGGAACCCUGAUGCAGCGACGCCGCGUGAGUGAAGAAGUAUUUCGGUAUGUAAAGCUCGGUCAGCAGGGAAGAAGAAAGACGGUACCGGACCAAGAAGCCCCGGCUAACUACGUGCCAGCAGCCGCGGUAAUACGGAGGGGGCAUGCGUGAUCCGGAUUUACGGGGUGGAAAGGGAGCGUAUACGGCAGGGCCAGUCGGGAGUGAAAGGCAGGGGCCCAACCCCUUGACUGCUCUGGAAACUUUCCGGCUGGAGUGCAGGAGAUGUAAGUUGACUUCCUCUUGUAGCGGUUACAUGC
rnacentral:rRNA from 1 species